GCGGUGAGAAACGUUCCAAGUUGUUAAUAGGUGUUAACAAGCUCCAGGGUGGUCUCUGGUUCGUGCGGUUGUUCGGUAAACGAACCAUAUAGUCCCAAUUGCACGAACCAAGCCUGUUUAAAGUAUAUUAACCAGUGCAGGGGCCAUAGUCACAAGGUAAAAAGCUGGCCAAUUAGUCCUCUCCAAGAUCCAGUGGCGAAGUUGCUUUUG